rnacentral:miRNA from 1 species
UUUGCAUUUUGGCUUAUUAGACAUAAAGUUUACCUGUGUAGCCCUGGCUGUCCUGGAACUUGCUCUACAGACCUGGCUGGCCUCGAACUCAGAGAGCAGUCUG